ACCUAGCCCUGACCGCAGUGGUACUCCUGAUGCAGGAGGCUUGUGAUUUUUUCUUGUGCCAAAAGAGCGACCGCAGGAAGCUCCUUUUUGGCACUUAGAAAAAUACAAGACUACAAAUCAGAGUGUAGCGAAGGGCAGGAACAGCU
rnacentral:misc_RNA from 1 species